rnacentral:miRNA from 1 species
UCAUCAUUGUUGGUUGUCAG